CAUACCAGUCCGAACGAUUCAGCAGUACACCAAUUGCGCCGAGCUUUCACAUUGAAUUUACCCAACUGGCCCACGUCUUUGCAGGAUGGCCAUCUGUAAUCAUGAGCCCUACCAACCAGCUGAAUAGAGUGGCAUCACUGAGGAAUUGUGUCCAGCUACAUUUAUGUCCAGUGGAGCAUCAUGCUGGAUUGUUAAAGUCCUAAUCACCACUUAUCAGGACAGAAGUCAACAGGAUUCAAAAUGCUACACUUGACCCAAUGUGAAUUUGAUAAUUAAAUUGAAAGCUUGAGGACUUGAACCUGGACCUUCUUGUCCAGAUGUAGGAACACUGUACUACAAGAUUCCAAACACUGCACUUUGCCACAAUGGGAACAAACCAGGGACCUGGAGAUCUUCAGAAUAACACUCUCCCAACUGAAAUACUGAUCAUAAUACUACUAUACUUUGGUCUAAUUGAAAUGUUAAGCAAUUAAUGAGG